rnacentral:tRNA from 2 species
GCCAGUUUAGCUUAGUCGGUAGAGCAUCGCAUUCGUAACGCGAAGGUCGUGGGUUCGAAUCCCAUAGCUGGCUCCA